GACGAACGCUGGCGGCGUGCUUAACACAUGCAAGUCGAACGGAAAGGCCCUGCUUUUGUGGGGUGCUCGAGUGGCGAACGGGUGAGUAACACGUGAGUAACCUGCCCUUGACUUUGGGAUAACUUCAGGAAACUGGGGCUAAUACCGGAUAGGAGCUCCUGCUGCAUGGUGGGGGUUGGAAAGUUUCGGCGGUUGGGGAUGGACUCGCGGCUUAUCAGCUUGUUGGUGGGGUAGUGGCUUACCAAGGCUUUGACGGGUAGCCGGCCUGAGAGGGUGACCGGCCACAUUGGGACUGAGAUACGGCCCAGACUCCUACGGGAGGCAGCAGUGGGGAAUAUUGCACAAUGGGCGGAAGCCUGAUGCAGCAACGCCGCGUGCGGGAUGACGGCCUUCGGGUUGUAAACCGCUUUCGCCUGUGACGAAGCGUGAGUGACGGUAAUGGGUAAAGAAGCACCGGCUAACUACGUGCCAGCAGCCGCGGUGAUACGUAGGGUGCGAGCGUUGUCCGGAUUUAUUGGGCGUAAAGGGCUCGUAGGUGGUUGAUCGCGUCGGAAGUGUAAUCUUGGGGCUUAACCCUGAGCGUGCUUUCGAUACGGGUUGACUUGAGGAAGGUAGGGGAGAAUGGAAUUCCUGGUGGAGCGGUGGAAUGCGCAGAUAUCAGGAGGAACACCAGUGGCGAAGGCGGUUCUCUGGGCCUUUCCUGACGCUGAGGAGCGAAAGCGUGGGGAGCGAACAGGCUUAGAUACCCUGGUAGUCCACGCUGUAAACGGUGGGUACUAGGUGUGGGGUCCAUUCCACGGGUUCCGUGCCGUAGCUAACGCUUUAAGUACCCCGCCUGGGGAGUACGGCCGCAAGGCUAAAACUCAAAGGAAUUGACGGGGCCCCGCACAAGCGGCGGAGCAUGCGGAUUAAUUCGAUGCAACGCGUAGAACCUUACCUGGGUUUGACAUGGAUCGGGAGCGCUCAGAGAUGGGUGUGCCUCUUUUGGGGUCGGUUCACAGGUGGUGCAUGGCUGUCGUCAGCUCGUGUCGUGAGAUGUUGGGUUAAGUCCCGCAACGAGCGCAACCCUUGUUCACUGUUGCCAGCACGUCAUGGUGGGGACUCAGUGGAGACCGCCGGGGUCAACUCGGAGGAAGGUGGGGAUGACGUCAAGUCAUCAUGCCCCUUAUGUCCAGGGCUUCACGCAUGCUACAAUGGCUGGUACAGAGAGUGGCGAGCCUGUGAGGGUGAGCGAAUCUCGGAAAGCCGGUCUCAGUUCGGAUUGGGGUCUGCAACUCGACCUCAUGAAGUCGGAGUCGCUAGUAAUCGCAGAUCAGCAACGCUGCGGUGAGUACGUUCCCGGGGCU
rnacentral:rRNA from 1 species